UUUACGAUUCGUAGCAAAAUCGAAUCUACGACGGAUUACAGCAUAGGGGUGAAAAUUUAUAGAAGAAAGUGAUACUAUAAUGGAUAAAAAGUCAAAUGUUGUAAGCAACAAAAGGCAACUUGCGCGGUUGGUCGAGCUGAUGCAGGAGAAUGAGGACGGCAAAGGAAUUUGCGGAAAGAGUAGGGGCGGAAGCUCCGCUUCUAUUGUGAAAGAUAUACAACAUUUCUUGUGCAUAUAACUCCGGCUACGCCAUCUGCAGUGUUUUUGCGCUGAACUAACAUCAAAGUUUA